rnacentral:rRNA from 1 species
GACGGAGGAUGCAAGCGUUAUCCGGAAUGAUUGGGCGUAAAGCGUCCGCAGGUGGCAGUUCAAGUCUGCUGUCAAAGACCGGGGCUUAACUUCCGGGAAAGGCAGUGGAAACUGAACAGCUAGAGUAUGGUAGGGGCAGAGGGAAUUCCUGGUGUAGCGGUGAAAUGCGUAGAGAUCAGGAAGAACAUCGGUGGCGAAGGCGCUCUGCUGGACCAUAACUGACACUUCAGGGACGAAAGCUAGGGGAGCGAAUGGG